rnacentral:rRNA from 1 species
GGCGGACUACACAUGCAGUCGAGCGGAUGAAGGGAGCUUGCUCCUGGAUUCAGCGGCGGACGGGUGAGUAAUGCCUAGGAAUCUGCCUGGUAGUGGGGGAUAACGUCCGGAAACGGGCGCUAAUACCGCAUACGUCCUGAGGGAGAAAGUGGGGGAUCUUCGGACCUCACGCUAUCAGAUGAGCCUAGGUCGGAUUAGCUAGUUGGUGGGGUAAAGGCCUACCAAGGCGACGAUCCGUAACUGGUCUGAGAGGAUGAUCAGUCACACUGGAACUGAGACACGGUCCAGACUCCUACGGGAGGCAGCAGUGGGGAAUAUUGGACAAUGGGCGAAAGCCUGAUCCAGCCAUGCCGCGUGUGUGAAGAAGGUCUUCGGAUUGUAAAGCACUUUAAGUUGGGAGGAAGGGCAGUAAGUUAAUACCUUGCUGUUUUGACGUUACCAACAGAAUAAGCACCGGCUAACUUCGUGCCAGCAGCCGCGGUAAUACGAAGGGUGCAAGCGUUAAUCGGAAUUACUGGGCGUAAAGCGCGCGUAGGUGGUUCAGCAAGUUGGAUGUGAAAUCCCCGGGCUCAACCUGGGAACUGCAUCCAAAACUACUGAGCUAGAGUACGGUAGAGGGUGGUGGAAUUUCCUGUGUAGCGGUGAAAUGCGUAGAUAUAGGAAGGAACACCNGUGNCGAAGGNGANCUCCUGNNNUGNNNNNNNCCACUG